CGUUGUAUUUUUUUACUCGGUAUUUACCACAACUGUUGUUUACUGGCUUACUGCUCAUUUCUCGUCCGCCGCCGCGGUUGGGUCGGGUGAACGUUGUUCUUUGUAAACGUGGAUAACAACACAAGAAUGUAUAGCCCGCGGGCGUAUUAACAAAAUGGGGGGAUUCCGGUCCGGAAUUUGGGUGAGAGACAGACUGCAUUUAUAUAAUGCGCUCACUCCAACAAGUGGUUGACGACGACAACAAAUCGUCGACAAAGAGAAUAUGCAUAACAGGUUAGAAGUCGUAUAAUAGACGUAGUUCAUUGUUGUACACACAUUCUGUGACGCAAUACGCAUUUGUGUUUUAAAGUUUUAAUAUUGUAUCACAAUUUUUUCUGCGGUCUUAUAAUAUUUUCGAGCCAUGUCUCGUACGUGUAUUAUUUGUCGUGCGUCUACUAAAAACAGUACAAAGAAACUAUCAUAUCAUUUGUUUCCGAAAAAUGAAAUAAGGAGGCGUAUUUGGUAUGCUUCCUUGGAUAUAAAAAGUGCUUCACCCAGCCAAUCAAUUUGCGGAAAUCAUUUUGCUCCAGAAUGUUACAAAAUGCGUAAAGGCAGAAGAAUACUUAAGCGUUUUUCUGUUCCGACUUUGAAGUAAAAAUAUUGGUUCUUUAUUGAAUUCAAAAUUUUUUAACAAAAAAUAAAAACGAUGAUUAUAAUUA